CGCCCGCCCCGGACUUCACACCCGGAUCCCGCCCGAGCUCCCCACCCCGCCCUGGCCGUCCCCACCAGGCCAAGGCCACCAGCUCCGGACCCCCCAGCUCCAAGGUAAAGCCCUCUGGGGCGGCGGCGGCGGCGGGAGGUCCCUGAGCCCCGGGCAGCCGGGAGAUCUUCUGCCCAUCACCUCCUGGCCCGGGCCCCCUGUCCUCUGUGCGCACGUGUCUGGCCCUUCCCCUCUCUGCAGGUCUCCUCUGAAGCCUCUCUGCCCCCCUCUCUCUCCCAGCUGUCUCUGCGGGUCUCAGAGAUCUCUCUGCUCCCCCAUUCUCCGCUCCGCUCCCUCCCCGGCCCUCCUCCGGCUUCUCUCCCAGAUGAAGUCUCUCUCACCCCGCUUGGCUCUCUCCAGCCUUCCUCCUCUCCCCCCCAGCGCCAGCCAGCUCAUUCUUUCCUGCAAAGCAGGAGCCGUUACUCAUGUCACCUCCCUCCCUCCCUCCCUCCCUCCCAUUGGACUCCUCAGCUGGGGGGGGGGGGCAGACCCAGAGAGGGAAGGGAGAGGAAGCGGGUCCAGAGCGGCCCUCUGGGAGGACCCUGCGCCCAGGCUGGCAAUGGAGUGAAGGAAGAAGGGUCCGAAGAGGAGGGACAUUUGUGUUCUAGAUGUCGCCCCCAGGCCACUUCUGCUUCCUUUUCCUCCUCCUGGGCUGGGCCGUGCCUUCGAGGACCCAAGGUGAGUCCGCUACAAUCCCUUCCUAGCCGGAGAGUCAGACGGAUUGUGCUCCUCCCGGGCUUCUUCCAGGGAGGAGCUCCUAUUUUCAUCCUUGUUUCUCCAACCCCAGAUUGCAGGCCGUCCGUGCUUGUCCGUCCCAUCCCGGGCAAGUCCCGUGGACUGGCUGUGGGGCUCCGAUCCUGCCUGCAAGGGGUUUGCCAUCUAGUGGGGCGCAGGAGGGGAUGCACAAGCACACGAGGGGGCAAAGGGAGGGUCCAGGCCAAGAGCUCUGGGCAGAGAGGGAAGAGGUCCCUCGUCCCUUCCAGGAGUCCGUCUUGA
rnacentral:lncRNA from 1 species